rnacentral:piRNA from 1 species
UGGUGCAUACAUCAUACCAAUCACACCUC